rnacentral:rRNA from 1 species
CAGUCGCCACGGUAAUACCAAGGGUGCAAGCGUUAAUCGGAAUUACUGGGCGUAAAGCGUGCGCAGGCGGUUUGUUAAGACAGAUGUGAAAUCCCCGGGCUCAACCUGGGAACUGCAUUUGUGACUGGCAGGCUAGAGUAUGGCAGAGGGGGGUGGAAUUCCGCGUGUAGCAGUGAAAUGCGUAGAUAUGCGGAGGAACACCGAUGGCGAAGGCAGCCCCCUGGGCCAAUACUGACGCUCAUGCACGAAAGCGUGGGGAGCAAACAGGAUUAGAUACCCCCGUAGUCCCUGUCUCUUAUAC